ACUAGUUCUAAACUUUAACUAACACCAUUUUCAGCUUGCAGGGAUCCAGAACCUCCCGAUCAUCCAGCUGGCCUGCCCUGAGCUCCUAACCCAGGAAGUUCCGAAGCAAUAUCAUGUGUUAUUUUGAGUCAGGAGUAUGUAGCAAUCUGAUAGGCUGCCGCUGAAAAUGAAAACGGCUACCAGAUAGGUUGCCUCUCCUGUUUUGCACAUCCCUGAACCCGGAGCUGUUAGCAAUUCUAAUGCACUUGACUAUAACCUGAUUUAAAGGUCAAAAGUGUUGCUGUUGCAUCCAAAGGAGCCAAGAUAAGAAUCCACUGAGUGACCUCACCCCUCUUGAGAAGCCAGCACUCAUGUCCAGAGUAUGCGGUCUUUCCUUCCGUCACUUUUCUCUCCCCUUAAAUCUAAACCUAAAACGAUGCUUAGUAUAGACCUCAACUCUGCCUCACACUGGAAAAAAAUCCAUUUUCUGAUUCUAUUUUUUAUGAAAAUUAAAACGUCAUAGCAAGAAUUACAUAGUUUGAACUGAAAUUAGAACCCAUACUUGGGUAUCUUUUUAGAAAAAGAAAACUGCUGAUAAAUGAAGUACCACAUUCAUCCUUCACUUCCCUGGGAAUGGGUCAUCGUCCCUGCUCCUCCUGAAGGCAUUGAAUGGAGAGGGUGUGUGCCACCUGAACAGUGCCCUGGUUGGCAAAGCCCAGCGCCAUGAAUGGGGGAACACAAUGGAAGCACUAACUGUCAAGAGAUGCCAUGGGACCUUGGGAAGGAUGAUGCACACACCGAACAGGAAGCAGAAAACUUAGUGGAGCUUCUGCAAGCGAAGCCAAUGAGACCGUGCUACAGACCAGAUUGGAUUUAUAAAUCUAUGAGCGGUUCCACAGCUGGGCAUGCUCAUACUGAGCUGGCGGGCCAUUUUCUUAAAUAAGGCACAGAGCUGGUCUGACAAUUAGCUUAACAGAAUAAUUAUCAAGUGAAAAAUAAUGGCCGCACUGCUGGGAAUCUGAAUCAUGGCUCUCAUAAUUACUGAUUUGGGGCCUGGUUUUUAAAACGUAAAAUAGAGUUCUAAAUACUGCAUUCUUUGCAGUGUCUACAGCCUGGUACAGUGUCUAAGCAUAGAACAGAAUUAAAGGUAUAAUUAGUAGUUUAUUUACAUAAUCACUCAAAUCAUUUCUCUUAUAGUCCUACUGAAAGGCGGUAGACAAGCAUGGGAUGCUCACUUAUCUUAAUGCAGAAAACCUUGGAAAGUUGAUUAUUUAAUUGGUAUCGAAGCUUGAUAUUAGAACUGUCCUAAAUGCCUUAAUUGGAAAAAAGAGUGGGUGCUGUCAGCUGUACCAAAUGCUAGAACUUCCUCUCGUGUUCGGCAAAGAAAUAUUUUUAUAGGAAACUUAUGAUGGACAAUUCUGUCUCUCAGGUAGUUGACUUGAAUUUGUGGAAUAUGUCCAGGCACCUAUUAAUUCUGAAAGCACAUACAUGGCUCCUUGUCCUUCAUGCCAAACUAUUUCAGGAGGUUGAUUUGUAUGAGGGACACAGAAUGACAUGGAGAUAUGACAUGGACCUGUGAGACGUGAAGAAUAGUUUCACAGAUUGGGCUCAUCAUUCUGUUAGAUGCUGAGAGCAGACAUAUAUAUAUAUAUAUAUAUAUAUAUAUAUAUAUAUGUAUAUAUAUAUAUUAUAUGUGUGUGUGUGUGUGUGUGUGUGUGUGUGUGUGUUCGUCAUCAAUGCAAACCUAUUCUCCUAUACCAAAUGACAUAGUUUUCAAAAUGAAAUCAGGAAUAAAUUAAAAACAUGAUUAUUCGAAGGUAGGCAUAAAUAAGACAUAUGGCUUAGAAAGGGGAAGAUAACUGUAAUGUUUGGGGGGCUCCAGAUAACGUGGAGAAGAGAUUCUGGGUAUAACUGUGUUCUGUGUCAUAAAAUGGUGUGGUUUCAGCACCAUGCUAUGGGGCCUCUUCUAUUUCUUUAGAUCUUUCAAAUCCUUGUAUAAAUGUUGACCAUUGUCAAAUUCAUGUCAUCCUGACUUGAAGAGAAAAAUAAAACAUAUAUUUCCUACAGA